UUUAUACACGAGCGGACACCGCGACGAGCAUGAACAGCUAGCAGUGCCGUUGUAGUGAUUGUUGCAUUUGGCAUAGCGAUGACAAGUCACCUUGCUACACACAUCUGCCACGAGUGCAAUUACGGACUUGGCUUUAAGUUCGCACUCGCUGCGGUAGGUCACGAGAUCUGAUCCGCACACGGACGCGUUCUGGUUGUCAGGGGGGCACUGAUCAAGGCAGAUACACACGCCUGUCCCGUCAGCUUGGGGGAAGCAUUUGGAGUGGUACAGACACGUGACCGUAGAGCACGGAGCUGAACACACAAGGUCAGAGCGAGGGCAG